AUUGAACGCUGGCGGCAGGCCUAACACAUGCAAGUCGAACGAGUGGCGGACGGGUGAGUAAUGUCUGGGAAACUGCCUGAUGGGGGGGGAUAACUACUGGAAACGGUAGCUAAUACCGCAUACCAUCAGAUGUGCCCAGAUGGGAUUAGCUGGUAGGUGGGGUAACGGCUCACCUAGGCGACGAUCCCUAGCUGGUCUGAGAGGAUGACCAGCCACACUGGAACAGAGACACGGUCCAGACGCCUACGGGAGGCAGCAGUGGGGAAUGUUGCACAAUGGGCGCCAGCCUGAUGCAGCCAUGCCGCGUGUGUGAAGAAGGCCUUCGGGUUGUAAUGCACUUUCAGCGGGGAGGCGUUACCCGCAGAAGAAGCACAGGCUAACUCCGUGCCAGCAGCCGCGGUAAUUC
rnacentral:rRNA from 1 species